GACGAACCGUGCGAACGUUAUUCGGAAUCACUGGGCUUAAAGCGCUUGUAGGCGGAUGGGCACGUCGGUAGUUGAAAGCCCCCGGCUCAACCGGGGAAGUGGUGCCGAAACGACCCGUCUGGAGGGACGUAGGGGGACCUGGAACUUCCGGUGGAGCGGUGAAAUGCGUUGAGAUCGGAAGGAACGCCCGUGGCGAAAGCGAGGUCCUGGACGUCUACUGACGCUGAGACGCGAAAGCUAGGGGAGCAAACGGG
rnacentral:rRNA from 1 species